CGCCCGUCGCUCCUACCGAUUGGGUGUGCUGGUGAAGCGUUCGGAUUGGUGCGUUGGAACGGUUUCCGCUCCUGCGCGCUGAGAAGUUCUCUAAACCCUCCCACCUAGAGGAAGGAGAAGUCGUAACAAGGUCUCC
rnacentral:rRNA from 1 species